rnacentral:rRNA from 1 species
UUAAGGAAUUAGGCAAAUUUCUUUUCGCCUGUUUAAUAAAAACAUGGCUUUUUGGUAAUAAUUUAAGGUCAGGCCUGCCCAAUGAUAAUUUAAAUGGCUGCGGUAUAUUGACCGUGCAAAGGUAGCAUAAUCAUUAGUUUUUUUAUUGGAAGCUGGAAUGAAGGGCUUGACGAGAAAGAAGCUGUCUUAAUUUAAUUAUUUGAAUUUUAUUUUUGAGUGAGAAAGCUUAAAUAGUUUUGAGGGACGAGAAGACCCUAUAGAAUUUAAUAGUUUAUAUAUUUUAAAAUUUUGGUUUAUGUUAAUUGAUGUAAAUUUAAAUUAAUUUGUUGGGGUGAUAAAAAAAUUUAAAUAACUUUUCUUUGUAUUUUUCAUUAAUAAAUGAUUAUAUGAUCCAUUAGUAGUGAUUAUAAGAAAAAAUUACCUUAGGGAUAACAGCGUUAUUAAUCUGGAGAGUUCAAAUCGAUAGAUUAGAUUGCGACCUCGAUGUUGGAUUAAAAUUGGCUUUUGGUGAAGGGACUAAUAAGCUAAGUCUGUUCGACUUUUAAAAUUUUACAUGAUCUGAGUUUAAACCGGCGUGAGCCAGGUUGGUUUCUAUCUUU